rnacentral:rRNA from 1 species
AGUGAACGCUGGCGGUAGGCCUAACACAUGCAAGUCGAACGGCAGCACAGUAAGAGCUUGCUCUUACGGGUGGCGAGUGGCGGACGGGUGAGGAAUACAUCGGAAUCUACUUUUUCGUGGGGGAUAACGUGGGGAAACUUACGCUAAUACCGCAUACGACCUACGGGUGAAAGCAGGGGAUCUUCGGACCUUGCGCGAUUGAAUGAGCCGAUGUCGGAUUAGCUAGUUGGCGGGGUAAAGGCCCACCAAGGCGACGAUCCGUAGCUGGUCUGAGAGGAUGAUCAGCCACACUGGAACUGAGACACGGUCCAGACUCCUACGGGAGGCAGCAGUGGGGAAUAUUGGACAAUGGGCGCAAGCCUGAUCCAGCCAUACCGCGUGGGUGAAGAAGGCCUUCGUGUUGUAAAGCCCUUUUGUUGGGAAAGAAAAGCAGCAGGUUAAUACCCCGCUGUUCUGACGGUACCCAAAGAAUAAGCACCGGCUAACUUCGUG